AUCUCCCCGGAGCAAAAACGGACAGGAUCCCGUAAGAUCUCCUGGAGCAAAAACAGUCGGCGGGAUCUCCAAGAUCUCCCCGGAGCAAAAACGGCCGGCGAAGAUCUCAAAGAUCUCCCGGAGCGACAAAGGCCGAGAUCCCCAAAGAAUUCUCCGGCGUCGUAUGCUCACAGCAAACAGCAGUAUACAAUGACAACAUGCAAAAUUAACUCAUAAGAACAUAGUUCCGACCUCACAUAAAAGAUUGGGGCACGAGACCCUAAAUGAAAAUCUAAACUCCGACCUCCCAAAGGAGCUCGAGUCAUAAAGUAAAGAGACUUUGAUCUCACACAAUAGCCAAAAGCGCCAAAAUGCCAUGCUGACCUCAAGAGGGUGCUAGAAUAUAAAUAAAAGAGUUUGAAUCCGACCUCUUAUAAGAGCUCGGAUUUCGGCUAAUAAGACCUAGAUCUCGCAAAAUGGCCAGCAUAUAACGAAAUUACACUAAGGCGCCCCAACGUCCGUAUCAUGUAGCAAUACGACCUACUAACGGCCAAUACAAGGCUCGCGGUGCCAAAGCGCCAAAGCACCAUGCCGAUCUUAAGAAAAUGAGCUCGGUACUGGUAAAUCCAAUAGGCAGACCGAAUUAAGGUGAGGCUACAAGUUUAUAAAAGAAAAGCUGAAGCCAAACAAAUAAGCAGUCAGACUGAGACAUAGCCCAUAUAAGGCUCGACAAGAAAACAAGAGAUUAAGUUCGACUUCACAAAGGAGCUCGGGACACCAAAGUGAAGAAAGUGAAAUUUCGAACUCCCGAGCUCGCGAUACAGACAGCGUCACAGGCUACCAGCAUAAAAGCCUAAGCAAAAAGCAAAAAACCGAGCUCCCAGCUCGGAUGAACUCGCGACAUGAAUAAAGAUAAGUACAGAAGAAAUAACAGAGAACCAAGCUCCCUCUAUGAAAAGGCCCACGAAUGCAGAAACACAUAAAAGGAUAAACGAAGGCAAAGGACCGUGCUCACAGCUCGGGUUAACUCAGCAUAAACAAACAUUUAACAAGGAUAACCCAGGAAUAGGAAAACGACAAAAGACCGAGCUCUCUAUCCCAGUGGAGCACGCAGCUCAAACCGCACUGAUUGCCAGAAGGUUAUCUCCAGAAGAACAAGAUAUUAUGUAUCCGAGCUCGCAACAAGGACGAGAUCGUGAGUCAAAAACAGAAAUGCCCUCAUGGGAAUAAGAAAAACUCGCAAGUCAGAAGCUUAACCAGACUCCGAGCUCUUAGCCCGGGUCAGUUCGACUAGCAAGAUCCCAGUAGAGCCAGCCUGGUCCACCAAAUAAGUAAAAUUGACAAAGCCAGAAGACAGUCUGAGUAGAAAAUAAUGAUGAGGCACAGGCCGAGGUGAAAUAUCAUUCAUCAUCAAGAACACAUCUCCAGAUCGCCAUACAUUUAAACACCAAAGUAAAGAGAUAAAGAAAUAACGCAAGUAAAGGACGUUUUGACAAAAACUGUUUUUGAGUUGCACGGUCAUUAAUGGAGCCCAAGUAUUUACCCCCUCACCAGCCAUGGAAUAACUGCUAAGGAGGUAAAGGGGAAACCCAAGGAGAAAUCCAAUGGCGUGAGCAGAUAAGACCCCAGCUUCAGUUCUCGUCCGAACAGAACUAAAAACAAGGAGGCCAAUCCUGCUCACCAUUUUAAAAGGUACGUGAUACAUUUCGCUUUGGUUAUAAAGGGCUACACGCCUAAGCUCGUACAUGUGAAAUAAUGGAAAGAAAAGUUGAAGACAUUAAGUCAGCUGUUAAAAACCGAGCUCAUAGUGAAGACCUAAUGAGGUCGAAAUCUAUAAAAGUACAGCUUGACGAUCUUGGCCUUAAGGCAAAUCUAGCUCGGAGAAAAUUUAUAGAUAAGAACGCCCUUGUGAAAUAGAAAAGAUUAUAAGUCAGAUACUAAGUCUCUGGCUAAGAUUUCAGCCCUGAUUGACUGAGGGGCAAGAAAUGAAAGACGAUCUAGUUGAUUCCUUACCAAGUUUAUUAGGCACAGUUUAAGUGUCUCAUUCUCAAAUCUUUAAAAUUAAACAAGUCAGACUGUCUAAACAGAGUAAGUAGCCUGAUAAGGAGGGAAGAACAAGCAGAGGUAGGAACAGCUCAAGUACGAAUAAAGCCAGAGAAAUAAACAACCAUCAAAAUAACUCAAAAUACCAACAUAAUUUGAAAAUUAAAUUAAAAAGAAAAAGUAAUUAUUACAAACUACAUUACAGCCUAUCCUGAUUAUCCGCACGGGCUGGAGGAAAAACAGUCCUUAAAGGACUAAUACUCCUAGGUACGUUAUCAUCUACUCUAUCUUUAUCUACACUGGCACUAUUUACAUUAUCAUCUGGGAGAGGUCUGGCACCCUCCUGCACAGACCCCUCAGCCCCUGUGAAGGGCACAAUCUCUUGCCUUGGAGGCCCAGCGUCUUCAUCCCCUGACUCGGAGCCCGCCUCAGAAGGUUCGGUGGCAGUACGAGGAGCCCCUUUGGGCAAAGGCCUGUCGUCCUCCCCGUAAAGCACCUCCUCACCAUCAGAGUCUUCCUCUAUAGCUCGGAGUUCAGCCAACGGGGUAGAGGGAGCGUAUCUGGCUGUCCUUAGGCCCCGGUUAUAUCCAGAGACGAAUAUGCGAAAGCCUUUGUUCCAUACGGCCGUCUUCAUCUCAUCAGAAGCUUUAAACUUCCCAAGUCGCCUCUCGCAGGCCUCAGCAACCUCGGCUUUAUAAUCAGAAGAACUCUUGAAAAUCUGGAGGCGAGCUUCACAGGCCUGCUCGAUCUCUUUCUUCAACUCGGGAGACUCUUUAUACUCCAUCAGACGCCUCUCACACUCUAGCUGGACCCUGUCUUCAGCGAGUCUGGCAUCUUCGAGCAGGGCUGAGCAUUUAUGCUCCAAAGUCCUGACCUCAUGGCAGAGCUUUUGAUUAUGAAGUUUAGACUCCUCUGCCGCUGAAGCCAGGUCUCUGAUACGAUCCGAACUUUUACUUAACUCCUGCUCGAGAACCUCGACCCGAGCUAGUGCCUCCUCCUUCUGGACCUCCACCUUGUUAAGACGAGCCCGGACUCCCUCGAAAUCAGCCUUCAAGGCCUCAUAUUGACGCUGGGCCUCGUCCCUCUGGUUUAUAGCCUCGUCCUUUUCACGAAGGGCAUCUACCGUGGAGGACAGCUGCUUCAGGACUUCUUCACAGCGGACUUCAGCAGCUGUUGCCCUCUCGUCAGACUCUUUAAGAACCCUCCGAGCGUGAGACAACUCCGCCGCUAGGGACCUAGAAUGCUCUCGAGCUGCCGCAAGGUUGCUCUUGGCAUCACUGGUCGCAGACAGGUUCUCCUCUAGAUGCGCCUCCUCGAUCCGGCGAUCAACAGAUUCUCGAAGAGAGAGGUCACGAGCGUCCACCUCCAUGAAGAGGCCCAUCACCUAGUACAAAAAGAGAAAACUGUCAGAACAAAGAAACAAAGAAAAUUAGAAUACGAGAAGAAAUCGGAACGAACAACUUACCAUCAGGAGCAUCUCCCUAAUCCUAUCUCCGAGCUCUCCUCGAGGUAGAGACCGGAAGGCUGCCUGCUCUCGUGUGAAGCCAGCCAAAUGGCCGGUCAAAGCAAGCAGACGAGAGUCCGAAGCCUCUGUGAUUCCCCCGAACAUCCGCUCCCGCAAGAUCUCCGCUACAACGCUCGCCGGAGUUUGAUGAGUGAUGUCCUCAGCGUUCAAAAUGUCGUUGUCAGGAGCAGACAACAGGGGUAUCACAGGAACAUCCUUCUUCUUUUCAAGAGGGGGGAGAGCUGGAGCUAAUCCCUUGGAAGCUUCCUUUUUCUUUCCAAUAGGGGGGAGAGCUGGAGCUGAUCCCUUGGAAGCCUUGGAUUUCUUUCGAGCGGGAGCUGGGGCAGACAUUUCGGGGGAGGCAGGGCGCUUGUCCCCAGCCUUCUCUGUGACUCCUCCUUCACUAGCAGGGCCGGAUCCAACAUCUCCGAUAGGGGCCUCUUGGACAUCUUCGUCUACAAGAAUAACCUGCCUACUUUUUCCUUGAGCUUCCUCUUCAGUAAUGGGGGCCUCGAACCCCACCUUGGGGACCUCCUCCUCAGCAACAGCGGGAACUUCAAGCCCCACAUCAAAAGCGCCCACAGGAGGAAGGGCGGGAUCCGUCCUCGCCAGCCCGGCGUCCUCAGCCACUUCCGAAAUAAUUCUUGGAGUCUCUUCCGCCCCCUCAGUAGAAGAACGUCGAGGCCGGGGGGCUUGAGAGGACUAGUGAGCCGAGCUCGAUCUACUGCGUCUAGAGGGCCGAGACGACUUACUACGUCGGGAGCUUGGUCUAGGAGCUUGUGAGGAGACCGGAGGAGGAGGAGGUCGGGUAACCGAUCUGGAAGAAAUAACCUCGGCCACCCUCUGAGUAGCAUCCCUUACAGAUUGCCCAGCCAGGAGAGCAUCCAGAGCAUUGUCCAUGCUCUCCCGGGACAGUAUGAGAUUCUUGGGAAAUCUGAUCCAUCUUCACCUCGGAGGCUACAAAAUUAAAAAUCAAAGCAAAUCAGAACAGUUCUGAGCAAAGGUCGCGUAAGCAAAAACUAACACAGGCAAAUAGAAUAAGAUACACGCGUCCUUAAUAUCCCUAAGGUUGGACGCUUACAAGCACUUUUCGACGUCAUACUUCCUAUCCACAGAAGUCAGUCGAAGGAAUCCGACCUGCUCAGUGAGGCUCAACUGGGGCAGGUCGUUGCAACCCAGAGAGACAUCCUCCCAGUCAAGACCGAGCUCCCAAGCCAACCCCGUAUUCUUCUUCAACUCCACCACCAGAAACCCCUCUACCCAGCCCUUGAUGGAGUCUUUAUAACCCGUGAAAAUGGACAACCCUCCGCGAGGGGCAAAGUAAUAAAAUUUCUGGCUCGCUUUGACUAACCUGAAGAAGCUGACGAACAGGUGAACCGUGGGUGUAAACCCCCAGCUCAGACACACAGAUUCAAAGCAAGACAUGAAAAGAACGGAGUUAGGGGUUAGCAUUCGAGGGGUAAUCUCGAAAUACUGGAAGACCUCUUUGAAGAAAGGAGAAAAGGGGAAGGACAGACCGUACUCCCUCUGUUUGAUGAAGAAGAUUAGACUGACGUCUCUUUGAGGGUUGAUUAGGCCAGGGGGAGAAGGAUCAGGAAGAACGAUCCUCUCAUUUUGGUAAGGAGCCCGGAUGUGAUAAAGAGGGGUAUCCAGGUAUUCCCUAGAAAUGAAAUUCCUAAUGUUAGACGGGGUGAUGCUAGACUCCUGGUUGACGACAUCGGGGAGACUAGAACUAUCCAUGAAAAAGAAGAGGCGUACCUGAAAAGUGAUUAGGGCAAAUGAGCAGAGGAAAGCAAAGAGAGCAGUAGAACAGAGAAGAGCCAACGUUCUGGGGAGACUGACGGGAAGUGAAAUUUGAAACAAUAAAGAGCCGAAAAGAUGUUUUGAACAGUUUUGUCCUUGGGCGGCACGGUCAUGAUGACUCUCGGUAUUUACCCCCUCUUCAGUCGGGCAAUAACUGACAAGGAGAUAAAAGGGCAAUUGAUGACCGCUGGAUUUCUUCGCCCCGGUCUAAGGUCAGGCCCAUUAGGACAGCCCAUAAUCUGAAGGCUUCUAAGUCUCCUCCAAGAGCCAGAUCCAGCCCGCUCCGCUUAAAGACCGGGCUCCAGUCAGAUUCUUCAAUAAGGCCGGCCCAGCUCUUUCGGCCCAAUGAACAGAUCCCCUCUGGGCCUAGUCUUAACCUUAUCUUCCGGCCCAGCUCGAAACCAAGAAGGAGUUCAGCCCAUUCGCCUUGUGGGACCAUCCGCAUGCGUGCCCGGGGAGAAUCAGAGGCCGUUACGUAUGGGGCAGCGAUCUGAUUUCCUCGUACGUCCAUAUGAACGUGACAGGGACAUGUGGCCCAAUGACGUACAUUCUGUUACACGUCACUAGCAGACAAAAGAAAACAUAUAAAAGGAGAAAUACUCUCCUCUAGGUCUAAACUUUUUUCCAAUUUUACAGAAUCCAUUGUAAAACCCUAUUUUCUGGAUCACAGAUCAUCAGGCUGAAUACUAUGAGGGAAAUGGAUAAGAAGCACCAAAAGGAUGUGGAAGAUAAGGUUGAAUAAUAUGUCCCUCUCCCUCGAGGAGUUGCAUACUGUAAGCAGGCUGACAUUGAAUUCAGAGGCAACAGGGAGAUCUACUCUGAACCUGGUGUAAUGACGAGGGGGAUGGAAGUCGACCCAAGGGAUAUUAUGAUCAUGGUUUAAAUAUUACUGGUUUUGAAGGGGUCCUGGCUGUUAAGGCCCUGAAAUAACGGUGAUAAAAUUUUGUUUUUGUACCGGGCGUUAUGGAACUUUAACGGCUGUUACAGGCCGUGAAGUGACGGCCUUUACUUUUCUUUUCACUAACUUUUUUUUUUCUUCACGAGCAGUCUUAGUCACGCGAAUAUGAAUUAUUGGAGGAUUCUUCCACAGUAGCCUUCAUUCAUAUAACACUUUUUCUUUGUCAAUUAAAAUAUAAUAUUUCAAAAU